rnacentral:antisense_RNA from 1 species
UAUCUUUAACUGGCGUUCAAUAUUUUCUUUUGAGGUAAACUUUACAUACAAUGAAAUUCACACACUUCACUAAGUUUCAUAAGUGCAUACACCUGUGUAACCCAAACCCCUCCCCAGCAUGGCAACUAGUUUUUUUUUUUUAAUGCAGCCUCUAAAGCAAGUGUCAGAGAGAGAGAGAAAGAGAGAGAAAUUAUCUUUUUUUUUUUUUUUUCACUGCAACCUCUGCCUUCUGAGUUCAAGCAAUUCUCCUGCCUCAGCCUCCUGAGUAGCUGGGAUUACAGGCACGCUUAGGGGGAAAGAUUGGAAACUCCAUUUAGGACCUAUGGAAUUUGAGAUGUCUUUUAAACCCUUGGGUAGAAAUGGUGAUGAGGUAGGAGCCCAAGGUUUCGUGGCCAGGUCUAGGUUACAGACAGAAAUUUGAGGAUUAUCA